rnacentral:rRNA from 1 species
AGCGAACGCUGGCGGCAGGCUUAACACAUGCAAGUCGAACGCCCCGCAAGGGGAGUGGCAGACGGGUGAGUAACACGUGGGAACGUACCCUUUGGUUCGGAAUAACUUGGGGAAACUCAAGCUAAUACCGGAUAAGCCCUUAUGGGGAAAGGUUUACUGCCGAAGGAUCGGCCCGCGUCUGAUUAGCUAGUUGGUGAGGUAAUGGCUCACCAAGGCGACGAUCAGUGGCUGGUCUGAGAGGAUGAUCAGCCACACUGGGACUGAGACACGGCCCAGACUCCUACGGGAGGCAGCAGUGGGGAAUAUUGGACAAUGGGGGCACCCUGAUCCAGCCAUGCCGCGUGAGUGAUGAAGGCCUUAGGGUUGUAAAGCUCUUUUACCCGGGACGAUAAUGACUGUACCGGGAGAAUAAGCCCCGGCUAACUUCGUGCCAGCCGCCGCGGUAA